CCCUUAGAUGUCCUGGGCCGCACGCGUGCUACACUGACGCCUACAGCGAGUACUUCCCAGCCCCGAGAGGUGGCUGGUAAUCAGCAAUAGGCGUCGGGAUGGGGAUAGAUCUUUGGAAUUAUGGAUCUUGAACGAGGAAUGCCUAGUAAGCGCAGGUCAUUAGCCUGCGCUGAUUAAGUCCCUGCCCUUUGUACACACCGCCCGUCGCUCCUACCGAUUUCGAGUGGUCCGGUGAAUCUUUCGGACUGCGCGCGGCCUCGUGCCGUGUCGCGGAAAGUCAGGUAAACCUUAUCACUUAGAGGAAGGAGAAGUCGUAACA
rnacentral:rRNA from 1 species